CUCGUAGGCGGUUUGGUAAGUCGGGUGUGAAAACUCUGGGCUCAACCCAGAGAGGCCACCCGAUACUGCUAUGACUAGAGUACGGUAGGGGAGCGGGGAAUUCAUGGUGUAGCGGUGAAAUGCGCAGAUAUCAUGAGGAACACCAGCGGCGAAGGCGCCGCUCUGGGCCGUAACUGACGCUGAGGAGCGAAAGCAUGGGUAGCAAACA
rnacentral:rRNA from 1 species